GCCUCCGGCAUGUUUGUAUAUUCCCCCAACACUCAGCCAGCUCUGCUCUAGAAUCAGCCUUAAUUAGUCAUUUACCUAGCAUAACUCAGCAAAUCUGGGUUUGAAGUAGAAUUAUCCCAUGUAGAAUUUAAUUUCCCUGUUUCCCAUUUCGCCUCAGUGAGGUGAAAUGGACUAUUCAGCAUGGAGAAGGCUUAGGUCUCAUUUUUCUUCAGCCUGCCUGUUUUGGAUUUCUGAAUUUAAAAAUGCUUAGAAAUGAAGUGGAUGGAAUUAAGGGGAGAGUUCCCUACAUAGCUUAGGGAUCUGUGAUGUAUCAACUGCAUCUUGACAGAAUUUAUUCUGAGAAAGAAUCAAAGAGUCUUAGGAAAGAAGUGAGCUUCUGUAUCAGAGAUUGGUGGGAGGAUGUUCUAUCUUGGGAGAGUCAAGCUGAAGACGGAGUCUCACUCUGUCACCCAGGUUGGCGUGCAGUGGUACCACCUCCACUCAUUGCAAGCUCCCCCUCCCAGGUUCACGCCAUUCUCCUGCCUCAGCCUCCCGUGUAGCUGGCACUACAGGUGCCCGCCACAAGACCCAGCUCCUUUUUUGUAUUUUUAGUAGAG